rnacentral:rRNA from 1 species
UCGAGAAUCUUGGGCAAUGCGCGAAAGCGUGACCCAGCAAUGCCGCGUGUGUGAUGAAGGCCUUCGGGUCGUAAAACACUGUCACCCGGGACGAUAAAUGACGGUACCGGGGGAGGAAGCCACGGCUAACUACGUGCCAGCAGCCGCGGUAAUACGUAGGUGGCGAGCGUUGUUCGGAAUUAUUGGGCGUAAAGGGUCCGCAGGAGGUUCAUUAAAUUCGAGGUGAAAUCCCGAAGCUCAACUUCGGAACUGCCUUGGAGACUGAUGAACUAGAGUGCUGGAGAGGUAAGCGGAAUUCCAGGUGUAGCGGUGGAAUGCGUAGAUAUCUGGAAGAACACCGAUGGCGAAGGCAGCUUACUGGACAGCAACUGACUCUCAUGGACGAAAGCGUGGGGAGCAAACA